AACGAACGCUGGCGGCAUGCCUAAUACAUGCAAGUCGAACGAGAUCUUCGGAUCUAGUGGCGCCCGGGUGCGUAACGCGUGGGAAUCUGCCCUUGGGUUCGGAAUAACUUCUGGAAACGGAAGCUAAUACCGGAUGAUGACGUAAGUCCAAAGAUUUAUCGCCCCAGGAUGAGCCCGCGUAGGAUUAGCUAGUUGGUGGGGUAAAGGCCCACCAAGGCGACGAUCCUUAGCUGGUCUGAGAGGAUGAUCAGCCACACUGGGACUGAGACACGGCCCAGACUCCUACGGGAGGCAGCAGUAGGGAAUAUUGGACAAUGGGCGAAAGCCUGAUCCAGCAAUGCCGCGUGAGUGAUGAAGGCCUUAGGGUUGUAAAGCUCUUUUACCCGGGAUGAUAAUGACAGUACCGGGAGAAUAAGCUCCGGCUAACUCCGUG
rnacentral:rRNA from 1 species